rnacentral:rRNA from 1 species
AGAGAAUAGAUACCCCGGUAGUCCACGCUGUAAACGAUGGGUACUAGGCUUUGUGGGAAUAGACCCCUGCAGAGCCGGAGCUAAACGCAAUAAGUACCCCGCCUGGGAAGUACGGUCGCAAGACUAAAACUCAAAGGAAUUGACGGGGGCCCGCACAAGCGGUGGAUCAUGUGGUUUAAUUCGAAGCAACGCGCAAAACCUUACCUGGGUUUGACAUCCCCGGACCGACGUAGAAAUACGUUUUCAGUAGCAAUACUGCCGGGAGACAGGUGCUGCAUGGCUGUCGUCAGCUCGUGUGGUGACAUGUUGGGUUAAGUCCCGCAACGAGCGCAACCCUUGUCUUUAGUUGCCAGCAUUCAGUUGGGCACUCUAGAGAGACUGCCGUGGUUAACACGGAGGAAGGUGGGGAUGACGUCAAGUCCUCAUGGCCUUUAUAUCCAGGGCGACACACGUGAUACAAUGGAUGGCACAAAGGGAAGCGAACCCGCGAGGGGAGCGAAUCUCAAAAAGCCAUUCUCAGUUCGGAUUGGAGUCUGCAACCCGACUCC